GACGAACGCUGGCGGCGUGCUUAACACAUGCAAGUCGAACGGAAAGGCCCUGCUUUUGUGGGGUGCUCGAGUGGCGAACGGGUGAGUAACACGUGAGUAACCUGCCCUUGACUUUGGGAUAACUUCAGGAAACUGGGGCUAAUACCGGAUAGGAGCUCCUGCUGCAUGGUGGGGGUUGGAAAGUUUCGGCGGUUGGGGAUGGACUCGCGGCUUAUCAGCUUGUUGGUGGGGUAGUGGCUUACCAAGGCUUUGACGGGUAGCCGGCCUGAGAGGGUGACCGGCCACAUUGGGACUGAGAUACGGCCCAGACUCCCACGGGAGGCAGCAGUGGGGAAUAUUACACAAUGGGCGGAAGCCUGAUGCAGCAACGCCGCGUGCGGGAUGACGGCCUUCGGGUUGUAAACCGCUUUCGCCUGUGACGAAGCGUGAGUGACGGUAAUGGGUAAAGAAGCACCGGCUAACUACGUG
rnacentral:rRNA from 1 species